rnacentral:tRNA from 1 species
UCCUUGGUGGUCCAGUGGUUAAGACUUGUGCUUUCAAUGCAGAAGGCACAGGUUCAGUCCCUGGUCAGGGAA